rnacentral:rRNA from 1 species
CUUUGUCAGAACAUAUUAGCAUGGAAUAAUACCAUAGGAUCUUAGUUCUAUUUUGUUGGUUUCUAGAGCUGAGGUAAUGAUUAAUAGGGACAAUUGGGGGCAUUCGUAUCAUUGAGUCAGAGGUGGAAUUCUUGGAUUUCAAUGCGACGAACUACUGCGAAAGCAUUUGCCAAGGAUGUUUUCAUUGAUCAAGAACGAAAGUAAGGGGAUCGAAGACGAUUAGAUACCGUCGUAGUCUUUACCAUAAACUAUGCCAACUAGAGAUGGGACAUCGUUCAUUUACGACUUGUUCCGCACCUUAUGAGAUAUCAAAGUCUUUGGGUUCCGGGGGGAGUAUGGUCGCAAGGCUGAAACUUAAAGGAAUUGACGGAAGGGCACCACCAGGAGUGGAGCCUGCGGCUUAAUUUGACUCAACACGGGGAAACUCACCAGGUCCAGACAUAAUAAGGAUUGACAGAUUGAUCGCUCUUUCUUGAUUUUAUGGGUGGUGGUGCAUGGCCGUUCUUAGUUCGUGGAGUGAUUUGUCUGCUUAAUUGCGUUAACGAACGAGACCUUAACCUGCUAAAUAGGAGCGAAAACUCUCGAGUUUCCGCCUUUCUUCUUAGAGGGACUUUAUGCGUUUCAGCAUGAGGAAGUUUGAGGCUAAAACAGGUCUGUGAUGCCCUUCGAUGUUCUGGGCUGCACGCGCGCUACACUGAUGCGUUCAACGAGUGUACAACCUUGCCCGAUAGGGUUGGGUAACCUUUUGAACACGCAUCGUGAUGGGGAUAGAUUAUUGCAAUUAUUAAUCUUCAACGAGGAAUUCCUAGUAAUGAUGGAUCAUCAGUUCAUCGUGAUUACGUCCCUGCCCUUUGUACACACCGCCCGUCGCUCCUACCGAUUGAGCAAUCCGGUGAAUAUUUCGGACGGAUCCCAGUCGGGGCAACUCGUUCUGGGGUCUGAAAGUCAAGUUAACCUUAUUGCUUAGAGGAAGGAGAAGUCGUAACAAGGUUUCCGUAG